rnacentral:lncRNA from 1 species
UUUCCGUCGCAAUCUCCUGUGGCUUGACUAAUGAUUCCAUUAAAGAAAUCGUCGGUGACAAUAUCAGCAACCGAAACACCAUUACCGCCUCCAGUUGGUGCAGUAUUUGUGCAGGGACCAGCUUGGCAUCCCUCGCCACAAUAAUCGGAGGUAGUGCCACAGUAACCGUGCUUGCUGCAGCAGAGGCCUGCAGCACAGUUGCAGUUCUGGGCAGAAACUAGUGGGGCGGCAAUCAAGAUAGCGGUUAGGAAAAUGAGAAAUGUUUUCAUUUUGUUGUUUGUAGCAGAGGAUGAUGGAAAAUUAGGUUGGCGAUGAAGGGUUUUAUAGGCCAAGGCAUCAACUAGGUUCUGAAAAUUGGAGGCGAGAGUUUGAAAAUUGUGCUGGUAUAAUUUGACUUGGCAAUAGGGAGGACUCCUACCUAUUUGCGAUUUCUUUUACCGAAUGAAAUGUAUCAAACUACAUGCAUCAUGUUGUCUCAUUCAAUCUUGUCCUUUCUUAACUCGAAUAACAACCUACAUGAUAUUUUUCAAAAUAUUCUUAACUCUUAAGUAAAAAAGAUGAGGAAAAGUUAAAUGGAUCCAGAUAUCCGAUCCGUGAUCCGUGCUUCUAAUAAAUCCGGAUAUGGAUCGGUCUAGAAAAAACCCAAUCUCGAUCUAAUUCGAAUCCAAAUCUGAUAAAAUAAAUGUAUAUAAAUAUGAAUUUAGGCUGAUCGGAUCCGGACCCAAUCCAUCGACAAACCUAAGUAGGCAGAAGUAUAUGUUUUGGCAUGGCUAAACUAAAAGUCAAGUUGCAUAACAUGUACGUAAUAACUUUGACUGGGUGGACUGCUGCCACCGCUGCCAGUCUACCAUAUUCCGUGGAUAUUACGGAGCAGGAAAAACACAAUUCAUACGGACGUUUGAUUCAGCCAUAUGACUUAUGUGAUUUUUGAUUUAAUGUCAUUUAGGAGAUAGGUUGGCAGUUUAAAAUAUUUGUUUUGAUAAAUUUGACAUAUUAAUGACUAACACGUGAUUAAAAAUAUAAUAAUAAAUAUAAAAAUGAUUUAUAUGUAUAUUAUGUCUUAUGCAUAAUUUUUAUUAAAAAAUUAAUUCACUGAAAAAAAUAUAUCAAACUAACUUCUUGCUCAUUUCUGAUUUUAAGUCAGAAUCGGACUUAUAAUAACACAAAUAUACAUUUUUUAGUUUGAGUUAAAAAUAGUUUUAAACCCACACUUUAAGCAGGGACAAACAGAUUCUCGUACAAUACCUGUAUGAUUAUUUUGUAAAAUUGUAAAAUGUCCAUCACAACUCGUGUAUUGAACGGAGAUAAUAAUAUUCCUCGAGAAAAUCUCAGUAUAAAAUAUCAAUCUCAAUUUUCAGAUAAAAUGAUAUAUUUAGUUAUAUAUAUAUAUAUUUAAAUGCUUCAUGACGAGAACAAAAUUACUUAUAAGUUUUUUAUUGAAAAAAUGAGACUCUCUUUUAGAUACUCUGAAAUGGUAUAUUUAUCCAAUUUCUCGUAGACAUCUCGAUUAAUUAAUAAUUAAUUAACUAGUAACUCGUGAUCAAUUAAUAUUUGAACAAAAAAGUUUGAACUUCCAACAUGUUAGGGACAACACGUAUUCAAUCUCGAUUAACUUAUAAUUGCGAUAAAUUAAUAUAAUUUAGUGGUUUCAGCAUUAUUUAUUCAAUGAGAGGGGCCGUUUUGUUGAGCUUAAAGUAAAAAAAUAAGUAGAACUUAGAAACAAAUUAAGACUUAUAAGUGAUUACAGUGUUUGGCAAAGAAGUAGAAGUCAUGAAACAAAAGAGUUAGCAUUUUUAGCUUUUUAUAAGUAUUUUUUGACUUUUUACACAAACUGAUAUAUUAUAAUCCGGAUCGGGAGUAUUAGCAAGGUGCGGGGUUCAGAUAACAUCUUAGCCCGGAGAAUUCUCCCCACAAAAAGGAAGAAUAGACCACAAUCACAGGACGUCAAUCCGGGUCAAUACAUAUUGAGGAGUACGAUCCCAGAACCCGACUCGGUCUCAAAACAUCUAAGGGAGUCCCGCUCUUUGAUAGGUCACAGGUGACAUGGACAUAACAUGAACGAUCAACUGCUGUCAAGAGAUGACAAGUUCCUAACGUUCCAAACUACCGUCCAUCGCUGAUAGAUGGACACGUGUAGGGAAUUCGAGACAUGCAGAUGUAUGGCUAAGAUUCAGGUUUCCUACCCUUAAACCCUAAUCCUUGGCCUAUAAAUAGACCAAAGAUAAGAGGUUUAAGGGUCUCUUCUCUCCACACUCAUAUUUAACACACACAUAUGCACUCAGCAAAAUAUAUACACUUAAGCAACCACAUAUAACAACAAUCAUACACACACCCCCUACAUUGAUAGAUAGCUUAUUUUUAGUCCGUCUACUUUCGAGUCCGCUCUUACUCUCACGUCGGAGGCGUCGCGAGGCUCAAACCCCCUCCGAUGUUGUUUUGUAGGCUCCCAUCCAGUAGCUACACCGCAAGACGAUGACUGAGCACGGUAGAUAAAGAGCUGGAACGGAAUCUGAAGUUAUCAUUUGGCGCUAGAAGCUAGGAGGGGUGGUGUAUUCUCCGUCUUGUGGUCACGGUGCUACUGGACUCAUCUUCAUCAACAAAUUCCCGACAAGGGAGUCCUGUUUCAUCUCUGUGAGCUUCAACAAACUCCAACCUUCAAAAAACCAUCUCAACCAUGGCUAUUUCGUUGUGUGCACGUUAGCAAACUCAACCCGUAAGAAAUACAAAAUUUGUCUCUAGUACAUUAAACACUUUGUCUGGUAGCAUCUCAUAGUUUCCCAAAGUCUGCGGAAGGAUGAAGGCCCAGUUAGAACAUCUGCAUCCAGGAACCUGGCGAAACUUAAAGAUAUGUAUGGAGAUCUAAGUACAAGAAAGGAGGAUGCUGAAAACAUAAACCCUCCUAAAAAAAUUAAUGGUUCGGAGGAGGUCAUUAGACUUGGUGGUUCUACUUUGAAGUAGUGGCAGGAGGUGACCAAUAUUAAUGCUUGCUUCAAGAGAUGGUAAUUCCAGAUCCCGUUCCGGUACUUCCUCCGUCGUGUACUGGUGUAUUGCGGUGUUGUUGCUGGAUGGGAGCCUACAAAACAACACCCGAGGGGGGUUUGAGCCCCGCAGCGCCUUCGGCGUGAGGAUGAGUACAGACGUCGGAAUAGAUAGACGGAAAAUAAGCUAUCUAUGUGUGGUGGGUGAAGGUGUAUGGCUGUUGUGUAUGGUGGCUUGGAGUGUGUGAGAAAUAUGAGAGUGUGGAGAAGAAGAUCCUUAAGCCUCUCAUCCUUGGUCUAUUUAUAGAACAAGGAUUAUAGUUUAAGGAUGUGUAGCUUGGAUCCUGUCGUCCAUCUGUAGGGCUUGGAUGCUUGACACCUGUCCAGGUGUCAUUUAAGGAAUAAUAUUUUGGAGCGUUCUGAGGUUUGUCUUCAUAGUGUCAGUAGCUGACCAUUGUGUGACUUGGAUCCCGGUUCAUAUCCAGACUAAGUUUUGGAAAGAUUGGUGCCCACCAACCUGGGUUGAUUGCCUCUCCAGGGUCAUGGAAUUCUCUCCGGGUUGGGUGCGCCUCCGGGAUUGCGUCCUUGCAUUAUUAGUCCCUCGAACCGUGGUUGGAGUUGGUCUUGCUUCCGGUUCUUGGCGGGACUGAGGUAACCCAAUCCGGAUUGGGAUACCUGUCAGGACAUGGUUGAACUACCCUCACCAGUCCGGAUUGGUGCUUCUGUUAUGAUCAUGUUUAAAAGUGGUUGGACUAUUCUCCGUUGAGACGAAUUCUUCCCGGAAUUGUGCUGAGUCCGGACCAGACUUGGCCUAGGUUUUCGAGAAUACGGUCGGGUUGGAUUAUAUACUAUCAUUUGCCCCCAAUCCCUUAUACAGAUUUUCUAUGUGAGGGAGUAGUGAAUAAUGCGAAUCUUGCCUCCAAUCUGGACGGGAACGGAGUAGGAGUAAAGAUUUGCCUCGACUCUUUAAUCCGGACUGAUCUGGACUGAAAGUAGUAAGUUUCUGUUGCGCCAUGAUCUGGGUUGAUAUGGACUAGGGGUGAAUCUUUGAUUUUUGCCCCCCAAUCCGGGUUGAUCCGGACAAGAGGUGAGAUUUUGCUUUUUGCCCCCAGUCCGGGUUGAUCCAGGCAAUAGGAGGUUUUCGCUCUCGUCAUCUGAUCUGGGUCGCUACAGAUGGUUUCUAAGUAAUAUAGUAUGAAUGAGUCCGGGAGAGAUUGCUUGACAUGAUUCCGGACGGGACUGCCUGAUAUGAGUCUGGACGGGAUUGCUUUACAGAUAUUUGCCUUAGAAAAUUUUUCUAAGUAAUAGAGUGUGUAUGAGUCCGGACGAGAUUGCUUGCCAUGAGUCCGGACGGGAUUGCUUGACAUGAGUCCUGACGAGAUUGCUUGACAUGAGUCCGGACGGGAUUGCUUUACAAAUAUUUGUCUUAUAAAAUUUUUCUAAGUAAGAGAUAGCUCAUAAUUGGACCCGGGUUGCAUUUGCUUUUUUGCCUUAGAAAAUUUUUUCCAAUUAAGAAGUAGCUCAUAAUUGAACCGGGGUUGCUUUUGCUUUUUUGCCUUAGAAAUUUUUUUCCAAGUAAGAGAUAGCUCAAAAUUGAACCGGGGUAGCUUUUUUUUUUUUUUUUUUUGCCUUAGAAAAGUUUUUACAAAUAAGAGAUAGAUCAUAACUGGACCAGGGUAGCUCUUGCUUUUUUGCCUUGGAAAAUAUUUCGAAGUAAGAAAUAGCUCAUAAUUGGACCCGGGGUUGCUUUUUCUUUUGCUUUUGCUUUUGCUUUUUUGCCUUAGAACAUUUUUUCCAAGUAAGAAGUAGCUCAUAAUUGAACCGGGGUUGCUUUUGCUUUUUUGCCUUAAAUUCAAAGUUAGAAAUAGCUCAUCAUUGGACCCGGGGUUGCUUUUGCUUUUUCUUUUUUCCCUUAUAAAUUUUUUUCCAAGUAAGAAGUAGCUCAUAAUUGAACCGGGGUUGUUUUUGCUUUUUUGCCAUAGAAAAUUUUUUCCAAGUAAGAGAUAGCUCAAAAGUGAAGCGGGGUAGCUUUUGCUUUUUUGCCUUAAAAUAAUUUUUCCAAGUAAGAGAUAGGUUAUAACUGGACCGGGGUAGCUUUUGCUUUUUUGCCUUAUAAAAUUUUUCUAAGUAAGAGAUAGCUCAUAACUGGACCCGGGAUUGCUUUUGUUUUUUUUCCCUUAAAUUUUUUUUCCAAUCAAGAAGUAACUCAUAGUUGAACCGGGGUCGCUUUUGCUUUUUUGCCUUAAAUUUUUUUUUCCCCAAUUGAGAGAUAGGUCAUAACUGGACCGGGGUAGCUUUUGCUUUUUUGCCUUAGAAAUUUUUUCUAAGUAAGAGAUAGCUAAUAAUUGGACUCGGGGUUGCUUUUGCUUUUUUCCGUUAGAAAUUUUUUUCCAAGUAAGGAGUAACUCAUAAUUGAACUGGGGUUGCUUUUGCUUCUUUGCCUUAGAAAAUUUUUUCCAAGUGAGAGAGUGGUCAUAACUGGACCGGGGUAGCUUUUGUUUUUUUGGCAUAAAAAAAAUUUUCUAAGUAAUAAAUAGGUCAUAACCAGACCGAGGUAGCUUUUGCUUUUUUGCCUUCAAAAAUUUUUCUAAGUAAGAGAUAGCUAAUAAUUAGACUCGGGGUUGCUUUUGCUUUUUUGCCUUGGAAAAUUUUUCUAGGUAAGAGAUAGCUCAUAAUUGGACCGGGGUAGCUUUUGCUUUUUUGCCUUAGGAAUUUUUUUUUAAGUAAGAGAUGGCUAAUAAUUGGACCCGGGUAGCUUUUGAUUUUUUGCUUUGGAAUUUUUUUUCCUCAAGUAUGAUUGCUUAGUCCGGACUCAUUUGAGCCAGGACUUAUGGUUGCUUAGAAAAAGUAUUUUCUAGUGCCUACUCUGGACUCAUUAUUGAAUCAGGACUAGUAUGGUUGCUUAGUCCGGACUCGUCUAAGUCAGGGCUGGUAUUUUCUAAUGCCUAGUCCGAACUCAUCUAAGUCAGGACUAGUGUGGUUCCUUCGGUCCCGUACCUGGAGUCCCUACUAACUUUUGUUUUUAGCAGCUCAUGGAUCAUGUCUCUUAGACUGGUCUGAUCCUCAUUAUUUUCAUCGUCUGAGAUCAGCUCUAGGGUUGGCUCAUUCCUGGACCGCUUGGAGCGGGACUUGCUCAUAAGCCUUUUUUUCUUCUAGCCGGAUCCUUCUUUGAAUUUUCUGCUCUAGCUUUUCUUCUUCUUCCCUUCGGAUCUAUUCUUUCUUUUCGGCCAGGAUCUUUUGCCUUGCGGCAUCACUUUCUCUCUGCUUCUUUUUCUUGACUUUGUCACCAAUCCGGUCAAAGACGAAACCUCGGGAUUGGAGUCUUGCCCGAGUCCUCAGAGUUGGCGACAUGUUCAGCUUCCUUGCGAGUAUCAGCUUGGCGUUCAUGAUACUGCCGGAUUGCCUCGGCUAUUUCCUUGCUGGUGAGAUUUGCCAUGUGGUCGGCCGUUCCCGGGACAUCUGUGUACUUGAACUUGUUCGUCUCGAUAACAACCCGGGCAUCAUCCGGAUUAACCUGGGUCAGGAUUUGCUCGGAGUUCAGGUCCUGGAGUGGAUUCGCUUGGUCAGGACCUAACCCAUGUUGCUGGGAGCUGGUGGUAACCUUGGUUGAUCGGGUCUUUCCCCCUCUCACUAUAGUUCCGUAGAUGGUUUUGACUAGAAAACAAAACAAGACCAGGACAAGGCUCCUACUACAAGUUUUUAUGGAUGCUUUUUUCGAGAGGUAUAUAUGCACUAAAAAUGGCAAAGGGAUGACUAAGGGAGUGGAGACAGACAGUCAACUUACUAUGACCAGAAAUGCAAAAAAUGGCUAAGUGACAAGAUGUGUAAGGAACUACUAGACAGAGUGUUUAAUGAGCUUGGGACAAAUAUUUUGGUUUCUUGAGAUCGGGAUUUGCUAACGUGCACACCAACAAGAAAAUCAUGGCUGAGAUGGUUUUGAGAGAUUUGAGUGUUUUGAAGCUUACAGAAAUGAAUCAGGACUCCCUUUUCAAGAGCUUCCUGAAGAAGACGAGUCUAGUGGCAUUGUGACCACAGGACGGAGAAUACGCCAUCCCCUCCUUCUAGCGCCAAAUGAUAACUCCAGAUCCCGUUUCGGUACUUCCUCUGCCGUGUACUGGUGUCUUGCGGUGUUGCUGUCGGAUGGGAGCCUACAAAACAACACCGGAGGGGGGUUUGAGCCCCGCGGCGCCUCCGGCGUGAGAAUGAGUACAGGCGUCGGAAUAGAUGGACGGAAAAUAAGCUAUCUAUGUGUGGUGGGUGAAGGUGUAUGGCUGCUAUGUAUGGUGGCUUGGAGUGUGUGAGAAAUAUGAGAGUGUGGAGAAGAAGAUCCUUAAGCCUCUCAUCCUUGGUCUAUUUAUAGACCAAGGAUUAGGGUUUAAGGAUGUGUACCUUGGAUCCUGUCGUCCAUCUGUAGGGCUUGGAUGCUUGACACCUGUCUAGGUGUCAGCUAAAGAAUAGUAUUUUGGAGUGUUCUGAGGUUUGUCUUCAUAGUGUCAGUAGCUAACCAUUGUGUGACUUGGAUCCCGGUUCAUAUCCAGACUAAGUUCUGGCAAGACUGGUGUCCACCGACCCGGGUUGAUUGCCUCUCCAGGGUCAUGGAAUUCUCUCCGAGUUGGGUGUGCCUCCGGGAUUGCGUCCUUGCAUUAUUAGUCCCUCGAACCGGGGUUGGAGUUGGUCUUGCUUCCGGUUCUUGGCGGGAUUGAGGUAACCCAAUCCGGAUUGGGAUACUUGCCAGGACAUGGUUGAACUAUUCUCCAGUCUGGAUUGGUGUUUCUGUUAUGAUCAUGUUCUGAAAUGGUUGGACUAUUCUCCGUUGGGACGAAUUCUUUCCGGGGUUGUGCUGAGUCCAAACCAAACUUGGCCUAGGACUUCGAGAAUACGAUCGAGUUGGUUUAUAUACUAUCAGGAGACAAGUUAUAUUGAUAAAUGUGUGCGCUGCAUUUGCUGUUCUGAGCAAUUACCAUGUAUAUAUAUUAGAUGUCAGUUAAUACAUUACUGUAUCGGUACUUCACUCCAUGUAACAGAUUAGUUUUGUUGAUUUGUUUCUAAAAAACUUUGUAUUAAAAUAAUGCUGGUAAAAUUGUUUUGAUUUUGAUACUUUUUAAAUUCAUAAACAUGCUUGUGAGUUGUUUCAAGCAAAUAUUUUUUUUCUUCUUUUCCUCGUGUGCUUUUUUACUUUUCGAGACUCGUAUGGCCUUUAAAUUUCUCCCAACACAUUCGACUAUUUCCCUAAAAUUUCCUAGAAAUUUUCAAAACUUCUCAAUAACUUUCCUAUAAUUUACUAAAUUUUUAAGCAAAAAUCAGCAAUUUUGGCUUUAAAAUCAGUUUUUGGUUUUACAGUUUUACCCGCCCAAACAACUCUCAGUCAGAGGGACUUCUGCGCCCUUUUCUUGGCUGUUUUGGUCUAUGUAAUGCAGAGGUGUUAUAAUAAUAAUUGGAAUGAAUAAAUAUUGCACGAAUGUCCGGCUCAAAGUGAAAAAAAAAGAAGCUUUUCUUAAUAUUACUUAUUACAUUUUUAUUAGACAAUCAAAAACAUUCACGUGAUCCAAGAGAUAGUGUAAGAACUCAUCUGAUAAGUUUCUCUCCAAAAUUCUCCACUGAUCAUUAAUUGCCUUUUUCCAAGCAUGAAUAGGCUACAAAGAGAAUAUUACAAAAAAAAAGAAGGCUAAAGUUAGGGCAACAAAUACUUGUAAUCCUGUGGUCCAAGAACUCGUAUAAUAAAAACAUGUAAAGUAACUUGAUAUCCUCGAAAACCCAGACUAUCAUAGUAAUGAUUCAAGAAAUCAUCAACUAUGUCAGAUUUUUUAAAGAUCUGAUAAUUUUGCAUAACAAUAUGUUGCCUCUUUACUCAAAACAAAGAGGUCCCCCAUAAACUUCAGUUUGUAAAUAUAUACAUGUCUAUAGUAUGUGAAUCAGUUUUGUUAUGACUUGCUAACGAUGCCUAACAUAACAUAUUGUUAUGGACCUAUAUUUAUGUUGCAUAUUUUUAUAAAAUGAUAACUUUAGCAAGUCAUAACAAAAUUGAUUUACGUGGAACAUAUUUUGCUAUAUUUUUAUGUUUAUAUUAUAAUAAUUUUGCAUAACAAUAUGUGGCCUCUUUAAAGCCUGAAUAUGUUUGCAUUUUCAGACGUUUGCUCGGGCAUUCGAGUUCCUUGUUCAGGCUUGAGUCAUUGUUUGGGCAUUUGCUUGGUGCUAGGACAAAAACGAUUAUAGGUUUUUGAUUUCACCAUAAAAUUUGGAAAGCUUUCUUUUUUACAUCAUGCGCUUGAUUAUUCAAUAAAAGUCUUAACUUCAAGAACCAAUUUCUUUUUGAUCAAAUUUUGCUUUGGAAACCAGAAUUUACUUUUAUAAACUGAAUUCUUUGGUAAAUUCCUAUUCAGGUGAUUUUGCUCUAAACUCUUUGAUUUUAGAAAUUUCGGAUAUUAAUUAAUACCCUUAGCUCUUCUCGGGAGCUCAAAAAACCUUUGACUUCUCCGAGGAUCUUUGAUGUUCUUUAGCGUUGGAGGCACUCUUGGCUUCACCAUGACGUUCCUUGGCGUCCGAGGCACUCUUAACGUCACCCUGCCAUUCCUUGGCUCUCAAGGCAGCUUGGCAUCAUCUUGGUGUUCCUUGACACCCGAGGCUGUUUGAGGGAGCGUGAAGCUUCCUCGGCUCUUCUCAAGGAUCCUUGCCCCGGUUCUCUAGACGGAUCUAAUUUCUCACGAAAAUAUCUUUUCACAGAAUAUUUCGGUAAUUUUAAUACUCACACCUAACAUAUUUCUUACUGUAGCUAUUUACUCAUCCUUACUCUGAGCUUGAUCAAUUAUUUUAUCACUUUUUGUAUCCAUACCUUAUAUGCAUGUCUUUCUUGAAAUUAUCCAGCUAUUUUCACCUUUUCCUUGCCUAUAAAAGAUUAAAGGGUGAAAUCUUUGAACCGCACACCUCCGGUUGCAAACUUCUCCAAAUUUUCCUCUAGUUAGUUCUCUAGGUUUUUUUUUUCCAUCUAGUUUUAGGAAGAAUCUCUCAAGAUCGUCAAGUAUAUUCAAGCUUGUUCUUGAGACAUUCAAGCAUUCGGGGUGGAAGUGUUGUUCGAUCUUCAAAUAGGUUGUGUUCUUUUUUCAUGUUGAAGUUAUUAGCCGAUACCAAAAUUAGCCCGUGUCAGAGCAUCUCCAACGGCGUUGGCUAUAAUCGUUGGCUAAAUUAGACCUGUAAGAUAUUAUGUAAAAUUUGCUGAACCUGUAAGACAUUUUGCUUCAAUGGUAAUGGCUAUAUUGGUUGGCUAUAAUUUAAAAAUAGUAUGUUAUUAAUAUUUUAAAUUGUUAAAAUAGAAUAUAUCAGUUCAAUAUGGUAAUAAAUUAUGUACAAUCUUCCUACAGAUUUUCUUACAGACCUGUAGAGGUUCGACAAAUUUAGCCAUCCAUAGGAGGUUGGCUAAAUUUAUAGACAACAGGUGAGCAUGGUUGGAGUUGAAUUUUUGGAGCUGUUGGCUAAAUUUUCUUAAUUUAAGUAAGCCAACUCACCUUUUAGACAAGGGUUUUAGAUGGUUGGAGAUGCUCUCAGCUUGUUCCUAACAUUCCCAUAUCUGGGAAAGGGUGGAUUACAUCUGACAUCAAAGAUCUUUAACCAGUUGUCCUUUGAACACUCCAUGCAUGAUCGGAAAAAGUCGAUUUUCAAACUCAGAUGGAAGGGCGAAAAUCGGGGUUUGUAUUCUAGGGACCAUUUCUCACCUAUAAUUCUGUAAUUAUACCAACUAAAAAUCUGUAAUCGAACAAAUCCUUUCCUGCAAAUUUCGAUUUUGACUGUGACGAAAAGGAACCACCUGGACACCUUGUUGUUUUAUAAUGUGUAUUACCUGUAAAAAAAAGUAAGGAUUUUCUAAAGGGUUCGGGUAUGUCAGGACCAGUUACAUAACCUACAGCUUUUUGGUCAAAUGAAUAUCCAGUAUCUAGCGGCCUAGAUUGCCUGGGUUAUGAUCUACGUUCAGCGUUUAAAAUACGUUGUACGAGACCUUACGACGCUUUUUAACCAUUGUGCGGAGUUACAUUAUGUAACCUCAUACAGCGGUUAAAAAGCGCUGUAUGUAUUAAAAUUUGUUAUAAUCCUGGUCGCUGGAUAUUCAUCUAACGGCCAAAAAGUUGUAGGCUAUUUAACAGGUCCCUGACAUAUGUUUUGUCAAAGCCUCGACCCUUUUCUAAAAGUGUUUAUCAUUGAUAUAAUUAAAAUUGUUACGUGAUAUUUCACUUAUGUGUAUCAAAUUAACACAGAGAGUGAUUAUGCAUAUAUACUAGUGAAGUUUAUGUGUUUAUUGAUAGUACAAUUUCUUCUCUCUGGGAGGACUUAUUAUGGCAUAAUUGAAAUAGAAAUUUAGCAGAACUAUGAUGUUCUAGCAUCGCUGAUUAUCACCAGGUGCUACACCAAAUUUACUACAAUAUGAGUUGUAAAGACUAACACGCGAGUUGACAGCAGCCGGUCUUUUACCGUCGCACUCAAUGCUGUUGAUGGCACGGAUAGUUGCCCCGAAACCUUGGGUAGUAACAGACUGAACGUUGACCUUCCAGUACCACAAGGCCGUCUUGAAGGACAACACUGCAUCUGAAGCCACGAUGUCUGGAUUGUUUAGCCCAUCGAAGUCAUUACUCUUUCCAGCAUCAAUGUAGUUAUAGUUCCAUGUUAGCUGAAGAGGGCCGCGGCCAAAGUAGUACACAUUUGGGUUGCAAGGGUACUCUGCCGUUGAUUGGCAGUAAUUGUGGUCGCGACCAUCUGUCUCUUCUUUAUGGCAGAAAUCUGCGCUCAAAUUUAGUAAUUAUGUCAGAACAUUUUCGAUAAGCAACGAAACAUUAAAUUAAAAGUUGAAACUAAGGAGCACGAUUGGAUAGCCCAAAUGGUGGGUUUAACCUCUAUUGUCCCCGGAUACCCGGGUUCGAUUCUGGCUCAACUCGAGAAGUAUUAGAACAGAUACUCAUUUGUAAGACAUAUAAGUCUAAAUUAUCAAAAAAAAGGUUAAAACUAAGAAUUAUAGAUUUAGUUGCCAAAAAAUUUAAGUGUAAAGGAUAGAAUUUAUACAUCCGGUCUCAUGGGUAGCAUGGGCAAAAAAAGCUGCAAUCUCGCGCUUAGAAUCAUCAGCAGAACCAGCAGUUCCAAACGAGGAGUAGGAUUGAAGUGCAUUAAGAAACGCUGAUCUGGUAUAAAAGUUCUUCCCGUCGCAAUCUCCUGUGGCUUGACUAAUGAUUCCAUUAAAGAAAUCGUCAGAGACAAUAUCAGCAACGGAAACACCAUUACUACCACCCCCACUUGGUGCAGAAUUAGUGCAGGGACCAGCUUGGCAUCCCUCGCCACAAUAAUCGGAGGUAGUGCCGCAGUAACCGUACUUGCUGCAGCAGAGGCCUGCAGCACAGUUGCAGUUCUGGGCAGAAACUAGUGAGGCGGCAAUGAAGAUAGCGGUUAGGAAAAUGAAAAAGGUUUUCAUUUUGUUGUUUGUAGUAGAGGAUGA